rnacentral:rRNA from 1 species
AUUAAACGCUGGCGGCAUGCCUUACACACGCAAGUCGAACGGCAGCACGGGGGCAACCCUGGUGGCGAGUGGCGGACGGGUGAGUAAAGCAUCGGAACGUAUCCUGGAGUGGGGGAUAACGUAGCGAAAGUUACGCUAAUACCGCAUAUUCUGUGAGCAGGAAAGCAGGGGAUCGCAAGACCUUGCGCUCUGGGAGCGGCCGAUGUCGGAUUAGCUAGUUGGUGGGGUAAAGGCCUACCAAGGCGACGAUCCGUAGCGGGUCUGAGAGGAUGAUCCGCCACACUGGGACUGAGACACGGCCCAGACUCCUACGGGAGGCAGCAGUGGGGAAUUUUGGACAAUGGGCGGAAGCCUGAUCCAGCCAUGCCGCGUGAGUGAAGAAGGCC